rnacentral:rRNA from 1 species
UACAGAGGUGGCAAGCGUUGUUCGGAAUUACUGGGCGUAAAGGGCGCGUAGGCGGCCUUCUAAGUCAGACGUGAAAUCCCCAGGCUUAACUUGGGAACUGCGUCUGAUACUGGGAGGCUUGAAUGCGGGAGAGGGAUGUGGAAUUCCAGGUGUAGCGGUGAAAUGCGUAGAUAUCCGGAGGAACACCAGAGGUGCAGACGGCGCCCUGGGCCAGACCUGACGCUGAGACGCGAAAGCUUGGGGAGCGAACGGG